rnacentral:rRNA from 1 species
ACGGGAGGCAGCAGUGGGGAAUAUUGCACAAUGGGGGGAACCCUGAUGCAGCAACGCCACGUGUGGGAAGAAGCAUUUCGGUGUGUAAACCACUGUCGUGAGGGAAUAAUGCUUGAUUUCGGUUAAGUUGAAUGUACCUCGAAAGGAAGCACCGGCAAACUUCGUGCCAGCAGCCGCGGUAAUACGAGGGGUGCAAGCGUUGUUCGGAAUCACUGGGCGUAAAGGGAGCGUAGGCGGAAAUGCAAGCAGUCUGUACAAUACCGGGGCCCAACCCCGGACCUGCAGACUGGACUGUGUUUCUUGGAUAGUUCAGGGGCAGGCGGAAUUCCUGGUGUAGCGGUGGAAUGCGUAGAGAUCAGGAAGAACACCGAUGGCGAAGGCAGCCUGCUGGGGACUUAUCGACGCUGAGGCUCGAAAGUGCGGGUAGCAAACAGGAUUAGAUACCCUGGUA